rnacentral:rRNA from 1 species
GACAGAGGUGCCAAGCGUUAGGCGGAAUCACUGGGCUUAAAGCGCACGUAGGCGGCUUUCUAAGUCGGGGGUGAAAUCCUGGAGCUCAACUCCAGAACUGCCUUCGAUACUGGAGAGCUCGAGUCCGGGAGAGGUGAGUGGAACUGCGAGUGUAGAGGUGAAAUUCGUAGAUAUUCGCAAGAACACCAGUGGCGAAGGCGGCUCACUGGCCCGGUACUGACGCUGAGGUGCGAAAGCGUGGGGAGCAAACAGGG